ACGAGAAUAUUCGACAAUGGGCGAAAGCCUGAUCGAGCGACGCCGCGUGGAGGAUGAAGUCCUUCGGGAUGUAAACUCCUUUUGCCAGGGAAAAAGUUAUUGAUUGUACCUGGAGAAUAAGAAGUUGCUAAACUCGUGCCAGCAGCAGCGGUAAUACGAGUGCUUCAAGCGUUAUCCGGAAUCAUUGGGCGUAAAGGGUGUGUAGGCGGCUCUGUUAGUCUCGUGUAAAAUCCUUCGGCUCAACCGAGGGCCUGCACGGGAAACGGCAGAGCUAGAGGACGGUAGAGGUCUCUGGAACUCAUGGUGUAGCGGUGAAAUGCGUUGAUAUCAUGGGGAACACCAAAAGCGAAGGCAAGAGACUGGGCCGCUCCUGACGCUGAAACACGAAAGCGUGGGUCGCGAAUGGGAUUAGAUACCCCCGUAGUCC
rnacentral:rRNA from 1 species